ACAAGAUUCAACAGGGGAGCCAGCGAGUCUAUUGGGGGCCACCCACACUGAGGGCACAAUGGCAGACAAACGUGUGGGAAUAUCAGGUGACAACUCAGGAGCAGAAAUGACUCCCAGAUCUUUGCUGUAUGUAUCAGCAAAGCCCGCCCCAGCAAGAAUGACAGCUUAUAAAGCUGAGAACCUGGAGCACACCCUGGAGACAGCUCAAUAGGUCGGAGAGUGUCCUUCUAAGCGACUCAAUUGGUCUAAACCUCUUCCAGGCAGCUUAGCUGGUUCCUGCGUCUUCCAGGGAAGGACGAUGGUUUUGCAAAGAUGAAGUCUUAAGAAUUACCAAUGAAAAGACGGAGAUGCGGAAAGAAACCAGGGAAAUGUGAUUGUUAGAUUCAGUUGCUUCUGGGUUUUAUUGGAGUAAGAAGAAGGCUGUUGAAACAACGUGGACAUUUCAGAAUUGUGGGGUCACCUCAUUGUCAGCUGACAAGCUCAAUGUAUCGUUAAUUCUUGUGUUUGGUGUUCUGUAGAUAAGUUGUAAAUAUUCAGAUAGGGAAAAUCUAUGUGCGUUGUGAGAUGAAUAUUUUUCAAGACCUUGUGUAAUUGUAUCCAUGUGGAAAAAGAUGAGUUAGUAUUUAAAGGAUACGGACACAAGACUCAAAAUUAGCAAAAGAUACUAAGGGAAGGUUAAACUUUUCUGCCAAAUUGAAAACAGGUGUCCAUACAGAUUUGGGUUAGGGUGGGAAGUUGUUUUCUGUAGGGUCUUCAAAACCAUUUUAUAAGGCGUAUAUGAAUUGGUACCAAUCCAGUUAUCCCCCAAUCCUGGGUGCUGAAGAUGGAUCCCAGGCCUUGCCCUGCUCCCAGUCCUCCUGAAUCAAGGUAAGAUAGGAUCAUGGCCCAGUGGUCAAAAAUGUCCGCUGCUCAGCCUUGUUACUGAGUUUGAUCCCGGGACCCACGAGGUGGAAGAAGAAACCACACCCAUGUCCUCCGAGCAGCACGCACACGUGCACACACUCAUGCAAUGUAAAGAAAUCUACAUAGUACAUAUAUCGGCAUCUUGGGUUCUUAUGUUACAAUGGAAGUGAUCCUCCAUCGUUUUGUCCUUAAUGACUACUAUCGGAGUCUGUAUCUUAACUUAUCUAAUGAACUAGUUGUCUUCUGGACAUCUGGAUUGUUUGGAAAUCUUUCCUGUUUUAAAAAAUGUAUGCGUAUGUGUGUGAGCCUGCAUGCACACAUGUGUGUACCAUGUCAGUGCACGAGAGAGGGUGUUGGGUCCCCA
rnacentral:lncRNA from 1 species